AGCUUCCGGAAGCCGGAGGUGGCCGCGCCUGCCUGCUGUGGUUUAAACGUAAGAGGUCCGCCUAGGCUUGCGUGUUUGGAUACGCGGUCUCCAUCUGGUGGCGCUGUUCUGAAGGUUACGGAACCACUAGAAGAUGGAGCCCUGCUGGAGAGAGAAAUCACAGGAGGAUGGGGUGAGAUCUGUGGCCCUACUUCCUGUUCUCUCUCGGCUGCCUGAUCACCCCACACUCCCACAGCCACGCGCCCCACCAUGAAGGACUAUACUCCUCUAGGACUAUAAGCCAAAAUAAACUUUUUUUUUUUCCUCAAGGUGAUGUCUUGGGGUAUUCUCUCACAGCAACAGAAAAGAAACAAAUAUACCUGUCAUCCAGCUACUUGAGAAACUGAGGCAGAAUGUUAAAGAGGUCAAAGGGAGUCUGGGCUGCAUAGCAAGUGUAAGCCCUUCAAGCCACUCCCCCAAGGACCUCUAACUGCCAGGUUCCACCCACAGAAUACUCUAACUGCCCUAACUGCUGGACCCUGCCCCGACCCUGCAGAGCAAAAAGCCCAAUCUCUGGGCAUGAAAUCCCACCAAUCUCUACCCUGGAAAGCUCCACCCUGGAAAGUUCCACCCCCUUCCCGAGAAACCCUAUAUAGGCUCUCUAUCCUGUUCAGUUUGCUGCUGUUUCUCACCUGAGCAGAGGCAGCCACCCUCUUGGUUUUUUCCCUCCCAAUCAAUCUCUUGUGUGAGGUUUGUUGUGCGGUGUGACUUUGUGGUAUUCCUUGGCUUCCAGCUGCCAGGACACCUUUCCAUCUGAGCUGCAAUGCUUACAGCAAGACCUGUCUCAAGAAGACAAGAGAAGAAUCAAAGCUAAAAAUCAUUGAGGACACAUAUUCAGGAAAAGUAGACGGUUCAUCUUUGGUGAUGGUAAUGUCCCCAAGGGCUUCUGAGUCUAGACAGAAGCAUAAUCACUGGCCUGUCCCAAAAGCUCACUCCUGCAGGGUCUGAGAAGCCCUGUUCCUGUCUCUCUAAACCCCGCCCACUCUGAGAAUCUCUGAACAGAGGAAAGGCACCAAAAAGCCCAGUUUCGCAUCUUGGUGGCUAUAGCAGCUUCCUCCCCUGAAGUCACCAACCACUCGAGUCCCCACAUCAAGCAGUCAGCUGUUGACCACACUUGGGCACAAACCCAGCUGUGGAGGACAGGUCAUCACUCCUGCCUACGGCACCCUUUGCUCCCUGCCUUAGUUCAGGCGCGGCUUCUCCAGCCUCCAUCUCUGGGACUGGAGAACCCGCCUGGGAGUUGCUUUGCUCAAAUAAAUCUGUUGUUGUACUUUUUCA